UACCAUGGUGGUAACGGGUAACGGGGUGUUAGGGCACGACACCGGAGAGGGAGCCUGAGAAACGGCUACCACAUCCAAGGAUGGCAGCAGGCGCGCAAAUUACCCAAUCCCGACACGGGGAGGUAGUGACAAUAAAUAACAAUACGGGGUUCUUUAGGAUCUCGUAAUUGGAAUGAGUACAAUUUAAAUCUCUUAACGAGGAACAAUUGGGGGGCAAGUCUGGUGCCAGCAGCCGCGGUAAUUCCAGCUCCAAUAGCGUAUAUUAAAGUUGUUGCAGUUAAAAAGCUCGUAGUUGAAUUUCGGGGUCAGUAGGUCGGUCGUGCCACUGGUAUGAACUGGUUUUACUGACUCCUCCCUCUUGAAGAACUGUAAUGCCAUUAAUUUGGUGUUGCAGGGAAUCAGGACUGUUACUUUGAAAAAAUUAGAGUGUUUAAAGCAGGCUUUAGCCUGAAUACAUUAGCAUGGAAUAAUGAAAUAGGACGUUUGAUCCUAUUUUGUUGGUUUCUAGGAUUGACGUAAUGAUUAAUAGGGAUAGUUGGGGGCAUUAGUAUUCAAUUGUCAGAGGUGAAAUUCUUGGAUUUAUUGAAGACUAACUACUGCGAAAGCAUUUGCCAAGGAUGUUUUCAUUAAUCAAGAACGAAAGUUAGGGGAUCGAAGACGAUCAGAUACCGUCGUAGUCUUAACCAUAAACUAUGCCGACUAGGGAUCGGAUGAUGUUAAUUUUUUAAUGACUCAUUCGGCGCCUUACGGGAAACCAAAGUGUUU
rnacentral:rRNA from 1 species